UGUCCAUUCUACCUGCCAGGCACUGUACUCAGUCCUGGAGUUAAAGGGGUCGAGAAGACAGGCAGAUAUGUCUCCACCUUCAUGGAAUUUAGGCACCCAGCGGAAGAUAAUACUUACAUGGAGACAACAACCUGCCCAGUUGUGGGACUUUCUGUGGUAGAAGAGCAGCCUGGUUUAAGCACUGAGAAAGCCUUCAUUUCAGGAAAAAAAUAUUUAGGAAGGACAGUAUCAGAAACCCAAGGAGAGAACCAAAUUACAAAACACUGAGAAGUUAAAACACGAAGGGAUUUUGCACAACAGAAGACUUGAUGUCAGUGGCCUUUCCUGUCUUUUGUGAAAGCUUAAACCCUCUGAAGAAAUUAUGCCAGGUGUUCCGGAGAGGGAAGAGAGAGAAGUGACUU